UACGGAGGAUGCAAGCGUUGUCCGGAAUCAUUGGGCGUAAAGGGUCCUGAGGUGGUUUGCUCAGUCCACUGUGAAAGUUCAGGGCUUACCCUUGAAAAUGCGGUGGAAACUAGCAGGCUAGAGUACGGUGGGGGCAGAGGGAAUUCCCGAUGUAGCGGUGAAAUGCAUAGAUAUCGGGAAGAACACCGAUGGCGAAGGCACUCUGCUGGGCCGACACUGACACUGAAAGACGAAAGCCAGGGGAGCGAAUGGG
rnacentral:rRNA from 1 species